GUGUCUGUGGCACAACUGGUUAGCACAUUUGGCUGUUAACUGAAAGGCUGGUAGUUUGAGCCCACCCAGACAUG
rnacentral:tRNA from 1 species